AUGAACGCUGGCGGCGUGCCUAAUCCAUGCAAGUCGAGCGAACAGACGAGGAGCUUGCUCCUUUGACGUUAGCGGCGGACGGGUGAGUAACACGUGGAUAACCUACCUAUAAGACUGGGAUAACUUCGGGAAACCGGAGCUAAUACCGGAUAACAUGUUGAACCGCAUGGUUCAACAGUGAAAGACGGUCUUGCUGUCACUUAUAGAUGGAUCCGCGCCGCAUUAGCUAGUUGGUAAGGUAACGGCUUACCAAGGCAACGAUGCGUAGCCGACCUGAGAGGGUGAUCGGCCACACUGGAACUGAGACACGGUCCAGACUCCUACGGGAGGCAGCAGUAGGGAAUCUUCCGCAAUGGGCGAAAGCCUGACGGAGCAACGCCGCGUGAGUGAAGAAGGUCUUCGGAUCGUAAAACUCUGUUAUUAGGGAAGAACAAAUGUGUAAGUAACUAUGCACGUCUUGACGGUACCUAAUCAGAAAGCCACGGCUAACUACGUG
rnacentral:rRNA from 1 species